rnacentral:lncRNA from 1 species
CAACGUGGGAGCAUGGCAGCAUCUAGGCAGGCGUGGUACAGGAGGAGCUGAGAGCUAGCUCUACAUCUUCAUCUGAAGGCUGCUAGCAGAAUACUGACUUCCAGGCAACUACAACCAAGGGGAGAGGUCCCAGGAGCGCCCACUGUUAGGCUGGAGUUACAUAGGAAAGAACAGAGAGCAGCCACCACUGUACGGCCUGCACCAUCCUACAAGAUCUGAAAGUGCGGAGUCCUCAGAGCUGUCAGAGGAUGUGGGGCUUAUGACAACACCUGGGAGGAGAGAUG